rnacentral:misc_RNA from 1 species
GAUGAAGAACGUAGCGAAAUGCGAUAAGUAGAGUGAAUUGCAGAAUUCAGUGAAUCAUCGAAUCUUUGAACGCACAUUGCGCCCCUUGGUAUUCCAUGGGGCAUGCCUGUUCGAGCGUCAUCUACACCCUCACGCUCUGCUUGGUGUUGGGCGUCUGUCCCGCCCCCGCGCGUGGACUCGCCCCAAAUCCAUUGGCAGCGUUCCUUGCCCCCUCUCGCGCAGCACAUUGCGCUUCUCGAGGGCGGCUCCGGGACGCGAUCCAGCAAGAUGACCACCGUCUUUGACCUCGGAUCAGGUAGGGAUACCCGCUGAACUUAAGCAUAUCAAUAGCGGAGGA